ensembl:snoRNA U3 Small nucleolar RNA U3
AAGACUGUACUUGCAGGGAUCAUUUCUAUAGUUUGUUACUAAUUUCCAAAUCUUUGGAGGAUUUUCUAGU